rnacentral:lncRNA from 1 species
UUUUGCCUUUCAUGGCAUAUUUUCGCAAUCUAUGAUGUUAUGAUCAGAUGAAUGAUAGAAAAGUGACAUAUGUUUUCCCAGAGAACAUAGAUUGUUAUAAGUUGCAUGAUCACAAUUUUAAAAGAACAUAGACUACUAGAUUAGUAGUAUAUCUCUACAAUCUAGAUUCCUAAGGUGAUAAUGUAGAAGAAUGAAAGAGAACUUAGAGCGUUUCAGCUCCCUUAAGAAAAUGAUGGUUCUUUUGAACUACAAAGAGGAUUGAAAAGAUAUGUACGAGGUAAAGGAAAAGCACAGAAUGACGAUACGCGACGAAUUCAAGGUAAACGUUGCAUCAAAGGUUGAACCAUAGUCUCUACGUUCAAAUGUUCAAGUGCGACGGAAUAUCGAAUCGACUUUUGCUACACGAUAGAUUUUAAGAAUAGUGUGUUUUGCCUGUGUACGUAUGUCUGUGUGUAUAUAUCUUAAAAGAGGUUUGGGGUUUGAGAUCAAUAGGAUAGGGAACCUUAAGAUAAGUUUAGUUGUCAUGAUGAACUUAUGCUUUGUUAUGUAUAGUAUGUUCAUGGCUCUCCAAGUUCGGGACGAUGUUUCCCGUGUGACUGGGAGGUGAUGAUGUUGGACCUGGC